AAUAAAUUUAUUAGAGGCAGCCCUUUCUUUUUCUUUCCUAUUAAAAAAUUGAAGCAUUUCACUCUCUUAAUUUCUUACUCUUAAUGUCAACCAGUCUGGCAGAGAGCCAGGAAAUCCUCUAGGGGUAGGUGAAUGUCUGUGGGAUACAGGGAAUGAUUUUGAGCUGUGGAUGGGUGGCAGCAGAAGGCGACUGAUCCCACAGAGAUCCACUUGGAUCCGUGGGUGCUUCCAGAUCCUUGCAGAGAAGCUCAGGAAGAGUUCAUCCAUCCCAUCAGUGACACAUCACAUUUCCCAGGAGCAGGGCUCAGCAGCACAGGCUGAGUGAGGGAUGUGCCUAAUUCCCUUGCUGGACCCAGGCUGUACUUCCCAGGGUGAUGCUCUCUCCGCUUCCAUCCGGCAUCAUUUGCAUUCCCUCCUCCUGCUCUCAGGAUGUGCAGGGAAGGCACCAGCGUGUGGACGUGUGUGCAAUUCCCAACACGCACGGAGUCAGGGCUGACACGUCUGUCACACGCUCUGCGAGACAAAGCUGAGAAUGGCACCACAUUCCCUGGCAAGUUUUCCCUCCGGUUUACCCAAGGAUCUGAGGACCUUUAUUAAGUCACAGCUAAACACGGCACCGAUCAAAUGAGCUCUGCCCAUUUUCUCCCCCAAUAUCCCAAAAAGCCCAUCACCGGCUCAGACACUCCGUUAUCCCAACGCUUCCUCCAGCAUGCCUCCAAACUGUUAAUCAUUGCCAUGGGAAAUCCUACGCUCAUCUACACAAAUUAGAAUGUAAUUUGUGUAUCUAAACAUCACAGCUCAGCUCACCCGCUCUGCCUGAGGAGCCGGGAUACCGCCGGCACCCGUGAGUGAGCUCACAUGGAAUUACGACUCUGGAGGAAACGGCAAACUGCUCUCCUCAAAUAACGGGAAAUGGCUGGAUAAAAUCAGAUUUCCUACGGAACAGCGUGUCUCUGGGAGUGGGUGAAGCGAUACAUCACGGGCUGGCUGAAGGUGGAGGAGCUCCUUGCUGGGUGCAGCCCACCUGUGGGACCAGCGUGGGCUCCAGUGGGAAGCAGCAGCUGCUGGAGGAUCCAGGCGCCUCUGGAGGGAACCGAAACCUUGCAGGAAGAGACCACAGAACUUCCCCCAGCCGGCAGCCGCUGCCCCAGCUCCCCCGGGAUCAGGGGGCUGUGAGGGGACGGGUUGAAAAUGGGCCCUGUCUGGAAGGGUGACUCGACAACUAAAUCUUACAGCUUUCAGAAACGGGGGAAACCCUCUGGAGGGAUGACAAGCCAGGGGUGGCCUUGUGGCGGCUCUGCCUGCGGAAGGCACCCACAGCCUGGAGGCAUCCGCCCCAGGGCAGGGCACCCGGCUCAUCUGGGGCACCGAGCAUCCCUGUGGGCCCCACGAGGGGCCGUGGCUGCGGGACACGGCACAAACAGGACGUGCGGUGAGUGCGAGGGAACAUUUGGGCUGAGAAAUCACCGCAGGGAUCUGCCCUGGGGUGGGGUCAGCCAGGCCCUGCUCCCCCAGUUCUGCUGUGCCGGCAGCAUCCACAGGCAGCAGGAGACACUCACUGUGCUGGUGCAGAUGUGGCACAAAGGAUGCAGCGUAAGGGCUGGACUUGGACAGCUCUGGGGAGGAUUUCAGUGCAGCACAGUUGAUAACAUAGAAUCCCAGCAUGGUCUGCGUUGGAAGGGACCUUAAAGCUCAUUUCAUUUUACCCUCUGCCACGGGCAGGGACACCUUCCACUAUCCCAGGCUGCUCCAAGCCCCAUCCAACCUGGCCUGGAACAUUCCAGGGAUGGGGCAGCCACAGCUGCUCUGGGCAAUCUGGGCCAGGGCCUCACCACCCUCACAGAUGGAAUUCCUAAUAUCCCAUCUAACCCAGAUGAAGCCAUUCCCUGUGUCCUGUCCCUUCAUCCCUUGUCCCCAGUCCCUCUCCAGCUCUCCUGGAGCCCCUUCAGGCCCUGCAAGGGGCUCUGAGCUCUCCCUGGAUCCUUCUCUUCUCCAGGUGAGCAUUCCCAGCUCUCCCAGGCUGGCUCCAGAGCAGCCCUCAGAGCGUUUCUGUGGCUCCUCUGGACUUGCUCCAGCAGCUCCACAUCCUUCUGAUGCUGGAACCCCAUGAGGCAGCGCUGCAAGGAACUUGCCCACUCCCACCUGCUCCAUGUGGACCAGCAUGGGAGUGAACACACUUGUCCUCAGCUGCUGUUUGCCCACACUUCUGAUGCCAACAAGCUGCUGGAAUCAACCUGACUCUGAAGCCACAGCCCAGUGCUGCUCUUUGGAAGACACGUGGCACAGCACUCAAAGAUCAGCUGAUUAAACUGGAAAUGUGGUGGUCACCAGAGGGACAAAAUCUGGCAGGAUGGGAAGGGAACUGAGCCCCAGAUUGUAUCUGCAAGAGGAGAUUUUGGGAGAGCGCUGAUAUUUCUGCACUCAGGGAAAGCCAGUGGCCAUCCAGCUUUGUUGCAUUCACAGGAGCCAGCAGGAUUUGCUCUUCAUUCCUGACAGUGGGAAGAACACUCAAAAACGAACCAAUUUUCAGUUUCCAGGCAUCUGAUAUGUACCAAAGCCAUGUGUUGUUGUGCUCCCAUUGAUAUGCUGAUACUUAAUUCCUGAGUGCCUCCUCCAACACUCUGUGACUGCCUCCCGUUGGCCUCUUCCCUGUGUUUACAGCAUCAGAAGGAAACAUGUAAUUUUGGCUCUCUGAAGUGCUGGCUCUCUCACAUGGCAGACAGCUGAAUCCUGCCCACCCCUGCCGGGCACCACAACCACGAGGAGCUCACUCAGCUUUGCAGAAGCUGCAUUAGGAUUUUUAUAACUAAUCCCUGAGAUUGCACGUGCCUGUUGCUGCUUCGGUGUAUCAGAGAAGAGACAGGUGUUGUGAGGAGGGAUUUCUUACAGUGGACACUUUCUGAGGGGUUCAGAUAGGUUGAAAGAGGAGAUUAAAAGAAAAGCAGCUGGGAAAUGGA